CCCCCUGGGGUCCAAAAACGCGGGGCCGCGUUUUGACGCAUUUUUUCCUGUUUCCUGUGACAUCCACUUAAAAUACUCCGUCAUUCAUAAUCAUACACAUACAUGUAAUACAUCAUUCGAAACUGUGAAGUCUCUACUUUAAUGUGAGUGCCUUCAUAAUAACAACAAAACUGUGUGCUUUUGGCAAAUAAAGAAAAUAAACAGGGAGUGCAUUUCGACAUCUCUGUCUCCUUGACCAUUUUCCUCAAACACGUUUCAAACAUGAACUGAUAACUCCGCCAAUACUUGUCACACGAACAUGAUACAUAUGUCUAAAGAAAGCCUGAAAUGUCUACUUUUACAUGAUGUAAUUAAAAUCUGAAGAACUCAUUGUCUGUUUGUGUAAUCGACAUGUAAGUAAAGAGAGGUACAGUUUUUCUGGCUCGACCUCAUUAGCGCUAAUGUAAUCCCACCUUCCCUUGUGCGCGCCAUUCAUAUGGAAAUUACCUGAUGCGGGCUAUGCAAACAAGAUCAACGCCCACAAACAAUGCUUUAAGAAGCAGCGAGUUUUGACAGUUUCAUCCACUUAUCAACGCGUUCGGAAGAUGACACGCUUUACAGGUGAGGAACCUCUAUGCUCCUGGACAGCGAGGAAGAAGAGUUCACUGUUUCUUCAGACGAAGAGCAGGACUCCGACGAUGAACGUUUGUAUUUUGAAGAGCGACUUGAUCCAGCUGAGGAUAUAAUUUCUGAAGAGAAUGUGGCAGCAUCACUCUCCUCUUCAGCGGGCAUUUGCAGAAAUGCGACGGACAUUCAUAAAGGGUUAGUCACAUUUGCGGGCUUUUCUGUUUUAUUGGAAGACUUUUACUGAUGUUUUGCGUAGUAAUUUGGAAAAUACAAGAUGUAUAUAUAUAAACAUAUCUGUAUUUUCCGAAAAUACAUGAUACAAAUAAUGUUUUUAAUUUUUUUUAGUAACGUGGCUUCAUCAUCAUUUACUCGCACGGGGGCAUGCAGAAACGAACCCGAAAUAAAUAAAGUGAUACAAUUUAUAUAUAUAUUUUUUAAGGUAAAAUGUAAGGCAAAAUUUGUUUAAUUAUUCCUCAUAACAUUUUUAUGCCACGAUCUACAGAACAUCACACAAAAAAACAUUUUGAGAACUAAACCUAAAAAAUAACAAAGGUGAUCCUGCCUUGGAAACCCCGGCUACAAUUUAGUAUUUUUAUUUAAUUCGGAGAUUAAGCGCGUCAAAGCCAUGACCAAAAAAAGACAAAUGACAAAUAAUUUGUGAUUGUUACUGUAAAUGAUAAAAACUAUAAGCUAUAAUGUAUACAAUUCAUUAAACGUUAAUUUAUAACAAGAAAAACACUGAAAUUAAUGAUUUUAUAGACACUCCGCGUUAUUGUUUAGCACAGAAAUACCUGCUUGCUUGCUUUGACUUUGAUCAUCUCUGUAUUCACUUUAGAUACAGAAAGACCUGAUGAUAUUAUUUAUUUCAGGAAUCUCUUUGCUAUCAUUUGAAAGUGAACACCGACCAUAAUAGAUAACCACUCGGUUUUAAAUACAUUUUAAAACUUAUGCCCGCCGCAAAACAUCCGUUUUGUAAUGUUUAGUUUGAUGAAAUUCUAAAUAUGAGACGCAGAGCACCUAUAGCACGUUCGGCAAAAUUGCAUGCGCAAACAUGGCCAGAACGCAAUAGCGCAACAUCGAUAGAACGAAAAACAAUCCAAAAUGUACAGACUUAAAUUAUAUCAGAAUUUACGUUUAUAAUAAAUACAUUUUUUAAAUCAAAUAAGGUCAGAAGUAACAACGUGCAGAACAAAUGUGCAAAAUGCCUCAAGUGCACGGAAACAAAACACAAGCCAAAUAGAUAAAUCAGAUAAACCAGAGUGAUUUAUAAAUAAAAUAAAGAAAUUAAUAAAAAAACGAAAGUAUUGCCAGAAUUGCCAGCUUCGUCUUUUAAAUGUAGAAACAAAGAGGCAAUGGUUUAUUAACAUAGGAACCUCUUUUUGGACGUGUAGCCCUGUCACAGGGAUUGUUGGAUUUAUUAACGCAUUUUAAAAAUAUUUAUUGAAAGCUGCUACAUCACAUAUUAUUGGCAGCAUUAUAAUAAUAUGCUGUAUAUCAAUAUAUUGGGAGAAAGCUGUUAUGUGCGAAAUCAGAUAAUGUGUGCACCCAUAUACGGCCAAAAUUGAAUGAUCCUCAUUUCAUAACACAUCUGCAACGAUUCGACUGUGAGAUUGGUAGUCGAAUCCGGCUUCUCCGAUGCAUCGAAUCUUCAACUAUUCGGGGUCACCCCUAUUAAUUAUUAAAAAAAGUUCUCAAUAUUAGUAAUACUGAUGUGUUGCUUUGUACUUUGAAAAUACAUGAUAUUAAUUAAGAUAUGUUUUCAGGAAUGUGUCUGCAACACCAACUUCGUCUGGUACUCGCACGUUUUGAACAAUGGCACGACAACAUUUAACUCCAUUCCCAAAGAGUUACAGUGUGUGAUGGUUUACAAAUGUAUACCUUAUUUUUUAUAUUUGGAAGUAUUUUUAGAUGCACACCAAACUUUCACAGCUGACAUUUAGAAUCAUUUUCUUUUAAUUAGAGCCAUAUUGUACUGGUCAUAUAGAAUAUUGUUACAUGUAUACAUAUUGUUACUUUAUUAUUUAUAAUUACAAUUAAGCUUCUUUGUUUAUAAUUACAAUAAAGCUUCUUAAAUCUA